rnacentral:rRNA from 1 species
GUCUGNGGCAGCCAUCAUUUAAAGAAAGCGUAAUAGCUCACUGGUCGAGUCGGCCUGCGCGGAAGAUGU